AGUGAACGCUGGCGGUAGGCCUAGCACAUGCAAGUCGAACGGCAGCACAGUAAGAGCUUGCUCUUACGGGUGGCGAGUGGCGGACGGGUGAGGAAUACAUCGGAAUCUACUUUUUCGUGGGGGAUAACGUAGGGAAACUUACGCUAAUACCGCAUACGACCUACGGGUGAAAGCAGGGGAUCUUCGGACCUUGCGCGAUUGAAUGAGCCGAUGUCGGAUUAGCUAGUUGGCGGGGUAAAGGCCCACCAAGGCGACGAUCCGUAGCUGGUCUGAGAGGAUGAUCAGCCACACUGGAACUGAGACACGGUCCAGACUCCUACGGGAGGCAGCAGUGGGGAAUAUUGGACAAUGGGCGCAAGCCUGAUCCAGCCAUACCGCGUGGGUGAAGAAGGCCUUCGGGUUGUAAAGCCCUUUUGUUGGGAAAGAAAAGCAGCAGGUGAAUACCCCGCUGUUCUGACGGUACCCAAAGAGUAAGCACCGGCUAACUUCGUG
rnacentral:rRNA from 1 species